UUUGUAUUUCCCUGAGCAAGAAAUAUAAAUAGGACUACACGUCAAAAUAUUAGCACAUUAUUAAGAUUUAUUUUAAGUCAUAAAAUUCAGUAGAAACAAUUAGUAACAAUUCUAGAAAUGUGAAAUUUGAAUCUACGGUGGCAAUUGAUAUUUUGGCUACUAGUU
rnacentral:ncRNA from 1 species